rnacentral:rRNA from 1 species
UAGGGAAUAUUGGUAAUCUGGGAAACCGGGAACCAGCAACGCCGCGUGCGCGAUGAAGGCCUUCGGGUUGUAAAGCGCUUUUUGAGAGGAUGAGGAAGGACAGUACUCUUAGAAUAAGCCUCGGCUAACUACGUGCCAGCAGCCGCGGUAAAACGUAGGAGGCGAGCGUUAUCCGGAUUUACUGGGCGUAAAGCGUGUGUAGGCGGUUUGAUAAGUUGGAUGUGAAAGCUCCUGGCUUAACUGGGAGAGGUCGUUCAAAACUAUCAGACUAGAGUGUAGGAAGGGGAGCUGGAAUUCCAGGUGUAGGGGUGAAAUCUGUAGAUAUCGGGAGGAACACCAGUGGCGAAGGCGGCCUGCUGGGCUCUAACUGACGCUGAGGCUCGAAAGUGUGGGGAGCAAACA